AUGCAGCACAGACUACUCAGUAAAUAUACCACUUUAUGGUUAAAGGAAAUCCUGCCUCAGUCUCAUCCAUUCCUCUGUCACCUGACAAGUGACCACCUGUUCACCUUCACUGUCAGUCAUCCUACCUGUCCAGCUACCCACACAGAUUCCACUAAUCUUUCACCUACAGUGAAAGCAAGAGCCCAGUGCACACUGCUGGAUCCAGAGAGAGUUUCAGGAGCACUGAUCCAUGUGGCCAAGCACCUUGACAACCUGAUUCUGUGGGAAAAGUGUGUGUUUGCUCAAUACAUGAUUUCACCCACACACCGCUACUGUUCUGGACUCCAAGACUGGCCACCCAUCUCUGAAUUUGUCUUAGGAUUUGACCAGUGUGAGACUUGGGCAUGGGACAUAUCAGCUUCUUGACAACGCAGAAUGGUUCUGGGCACUGAGGGCUUUAACUCCGGGACAAACAACUGAGAUGUUGAGGUUGGGGACAGUAUAUGCUUGUUCCUGGGUGUGAUCACAGAGUCUGCCCCGAGGAAAGGAGUCAUACCCAGUGGAUUCGGGUUUAUAUUAUAAUGGAGCUUUUUCUGACUACUCAGAAGAAUCCCCACCAAAGCCAGACAGACACCACAGAGGAUCAGAGUGCAGCUGGACAGGGACAGGAGAAAGACCCUAUUAAAAACACACAUUCACAGGAACUUUAACCGAGACCGUCUUUCCCUGCUUUUCUCAUGUCUGUGAAUGCCAGCCUCUAAAGAUCUUGCCAUGGCCUCUAUUAAAAUAACAGCACAAAGAGCGGAUAAUGUCUCUUACUAGUUUUAUUCAUUUGAACUUCAUGCUAAAAUGUCUUCCGCCUAUCAAUGGAACAGCAGUAUAUGGUAAUGUGUCUUACCAAAGCAUCACAUCAACCUACAAUCCUAACCCACUAUGACAACCCCAUUAUUUAAUGAUCUCUCAAUAGUGAAACAGAACUGUUGCAAGCAUACGAUGUUUCUUCAGAAGUGCUGUGUUGUAGGUACAUUAUGUAGAUAGAGCCUGUAGAGGGAGAUGGAGUUGCAGGUCAGGGGUCAGAGCCAAUAGCACAGCAGUAAUCAAUGCUUAACCCACUUAUGGUUUUCUAUCAUGUGGUCAAUAUACACAUUCUCCAAGUUGAAGAAUCUCAACAAUGUUAAGGAUUUGAUGCAAACAAUUGCAUAAGACAAUAAGGGUCUGUCUUUCUAGUGUAAAAAUGGAUAGUACAUUUACUAAUUGUAUCAUAUUACCAAUGGUUGAAAAAGUACUUAUUUGUCAUACUUGAGUAAAAGUAAAGAUACCUUGAUAGAAAAUUACUCAAGUAAAAGUGAGUCACCCAGUAAAAUCCUAAUUGAUUCAAAGUAUUUUGUUUUAAAUAUACUUAAGCAUCAAAAGUAAAUGUAAUAGCUAAAAUAUACUUAAGUAUCAAAAGAAAAACUAUAAAUCAUUUCAAAUUCCUUAUAUUAAACAAGCCAGACGGAACCAUUUUCUGGUCUUUUAAAAAAUGUACGGAUAGCCAGGGACACACUCCAACACUCAGACAUAAUUUACAAACAAAGCAUGUGUGUUUAGUGAGUCCGCCAGAUCAGAGGCAGUAGGAAUGACAGGGGAUGUUCUCUUGAAUUGGACAAUUUUCCAUUCCUGCAAAGCAUUCAAAAUGUAACAAGUACUUUUGGGUGUCAGGUAAUAUGUAUGGAGUAAAAAGUACAUUCUUUUCUUUAGGAAUGUAAUGAAGUAAAAGUAGAAGUUGUCCAAAAUAUAGAUAGUAUAGUACAGAUACCUGAAAAAACUACAUAAGAAGUAUUUUUACUUAAGUACUUUACACCACUGCAUAUUACGAAUCAUUAUUAAUUCAACAGCUAAAUGUUUAAAAAAAUCUAAUGAUAUUGUCAAAGUGAGGUAAAAAAAAAGAAAAUAAGUUUAUGACAAAAUAGACGUCUCUUUGGUUUCACUCUAAAUUCAAGUUCAAGUCCAAUGUAAGGAGUUAACGAGAAACUUAAUAGGCUACAGAUACAUCCUUCCUAUCUCCAUCUGCGGUUGAAGUUUCUUCACUCCCAAGUUCACUUAACACAUGCAACACAAUAAAGGAGGUAUAAUAUUGUGGCUGUGUUAAUUCAUUUUUAUGUUGAAAGGGAAGACUAUGCCUUUCUGUGAAGUCUAUAUGUCAGGGUUCCACAACUGGCAGUUUUUUUUGGGGGGAGGGGGGGGGGGGGCUCAAGUUUUCAUAUAUAUAAAUGCAACAUUUAAAGUGUUGGUGCCAUGUUUCAUGAGCUGAAACAAAAUUGCUCUGAAAUUGCACAAAAAGCUUAUUUCUCUCAAAUGUUGUGCACAAAUUUGUUUAUAUCCAUGUUAGUGAGCAUUUAACCUUUGCCAAGAUAACCCAUCCUCCUGACAGGUGUGGCAUAUCAAGAAGCUGAUUAAACAGGUGAACCUUUUGCUGGGGACAAUAAAAGGCCACUAUAAAAUGUGCAGUUUUGUCACACAACACAAUGCCACAGAUGUCUCAAGUUGAGGGAGCGUGCAAUUGGCAUGCUGACUGCAGGAAUGUCCACCAGAUCUGUUGCCAGAGAACUGAAUGUUCAUUUUUCUACCUUAAGCCACCUGCAAUGUUGUUUUGGAGAAUUUGGCAGUACGUCCAACCGGCCUCACAACCGCAGACCAUCAAAUCAAAUUGUAUUUGUCACAUGCGCCAAAUACAAAAAGCCCUUAAAC
ensembl:lncRNA